GUAUGUACCUCCAAAGGGUCCCGCCUCAGUGCUUCCGGUUUUCCUGCCGGAAGUUUUGGAGCGCUGAAUUAGCUGAGGUCAGCGAUUUGUCGCUAAGAUUCCCAAAAACUGAGAUUUCAAGAAAAGUCACCCUUUCCACUUUCUUUGGCGUCCUUCAACUGUGAAGGAUAUGAAGUUUGAGAACCUGGAACCCGCCUCCAAAGACCAAGCCCUUUCUCUGUGCCUCACAGCAGUCUUGCGCCGUAGCUGUUUUUAUUAUCCCCAUUUUACUACGGGGAAGGAAAUUUGAGACCCUGAAAGUGACCUGCUGGACGUCACUUAGCGGAGGAGAUGGCGAAACCUGGAUUAGAGGCGAUGCCUUUUAACUCCCAGCGUGGACUUGCCUCCUUUCCUGGAGGUGACUGAAUGGUUCAGUAUUCCAGGGCCCUACCGUUGCCCAGCCAGGGACGCGACAUCUCUGGUCCGCAGAAAUACGGCUUCCCCGCCGCGGCAAAGAGGGGCCUUGCGGACAAGGAGGCAUUAGCGGGCGAGUAGGGCGUGGGAGCGGGGGCCGGAGCCGGAGCCUUGGCCCGCCCCCAGGCGGCGCUGUGAUUGGCCGGCCGCUCCGGCGACCGUCGCGACUGGCCCUCCUGCAGGCGUUGAGAUUUGAACUCGGUAUUUGUGGCUUUGCCCGCGCGUUGCCAUACUCAGAGGCGGGCCUUUUACUCUACCUGCCGAGGAUUGGCCGGUUUCUCCGCCAACUUGAAAACUGUCUCGCUGACUGGUGCGUGUUGUGCACGCGUGUUUUUUCCUGUUCAUUUAAGCCCCACUGCCGGAGUCAGAAGAGCCGCGGGUGAGAUCGCCAGGUGUGGCAGUGUGGAGGGAAGAUCGAGGUUUUGCCCUGCUCCCGGAUUGGUCACCUAGAGAGACAGCACAAGCCCUAUGCCUUGGAUCUGACCCCUGCCUUAAAGUGUAGUGCUCUGCGAGUGACUUGCCUUGAAUUUCCUUGCCUGGAAUUGCCCUGCCCUGCCCUGCCUUGCCAUGCCUCGAAUUGCCUUGCCUUGCCCUGCCUUGCCCUGCCCUGCCCUGCCCUGCCCUGCCCUGCCCUGCCCUGCCCUGCCCUUCCCAGGAUGAGCAGCAGUGAAGGAUGCUCCUGGGGUCCCUGGCUGGAAAAGGUAUUAGGGGUCGCACGUACCUAGGCUGAGGCAAGAAUACGUGUCCGGGGUAGCAGUGGCACUGGUAGCCCUUCACUGUCCAUUGAGGAGCUUCUUCUGCGCAACCUUGAACUCGUGCCCACCAGGCGCCGGGAGGUUGGUGGGCAGCAUCUGCUCUCUGAGUCGGGUCCCUGCCACACCUGGCCCUGCAGACUGGGAAAUCUUAAAACUCCUCUUUGGAGUUUAUAGGUGACUGCAGCCAGUCGGGAGCCUGUCUAUGCGGCUGUACCGGCUCUGCAGCGGCUUCCAUCACCAGCCUGCGCAUGCGCACUCCUGGAAGACCCAGCGGCACCGCCUCUACUUCCGAUUGGCUCCGAGUGAGGGGCCGGCCUCUGAAAACAUCAUGGCGGCGCGCCUCCGGUGACGUCACGGCGGGCGCCUACGGUAACAUCACGGCGCACGGAGACGGGCCUCCGGCGACGUCACAGAGGCAAGCCUUACGCGACUUCACGCGGAGGUGUGUUGCCUAGGAGCUGUGUUGUCUUGUCCCCAGAGCAGAGUCCGGUAACCUCCAUCUUCCGCUGCGUCCUCUGUGCUGCUGGCUGGAGAAGGGCAGAUGGAGUCUGUUUUGUUUUGUUUUUGUUUUCCUGAGAUGGAGUCUCGCUGUUGUAGCCCAGGCUGGAGUGCAGUGGCAUGAUCUUGGCUCAUCCUGUAUCAUACCCACAGAGACCCUUUUUUUCUCUAGGGCCUGGGAAGCAACCAGGUUCCAUGAGUUAAAUGCAGAUCUGAACCAUACCGUGCUGGGAUUAAAGUACACACCCUCCGCUUCUGAAAAGUAGCUAAGGAUUCCAACUUGGUGUAGUGGAGAGUGUGGCAGAGCCAGACCAGACAAGGACUGAUCACCUGGAAAAGCAUGUUGUCAAAGGCCUUGGCCAGAAUUCUAAAGUCAGUCCCGCUGACUCAAGGUGGGAGCAGGGCAGGUACCUUCCCAGGCUCUGAAGGAGAAUGAGUUUCUGGCCCUGGAGGCUUCCUGGAAUCCUCAGCUUGUGCUGCCCUUCUUGAAUGACUGGAGGUACCUGCUUCCAUCACUACACUUCCCAUCACUCUCCAUCACCUGCUCUGCUCUGAUAAGGAUCUGGGCUGGCUGCAGUCUUCGUUCCCUGCAACAUUUGUCUCCUGGGUUCAAGUGAUUCUUCUACCUCAACCUCCUGAGUACCUGGGACUACAGAGAAAUGCAAUGAUGGUAUCGCUGAUCUAUGUAAACACAUUGAAGAACUAUCUGAAAGAAAAUAUGAGUCUUGCUCUUUCACUCAGGCUGGAGCGCAGUGGUGUGAUCUCAGCUGACCAAAACCUCCACUUCUCAGGUUGAAUUUAUCCUCUUGCCUCAGCCUCCGUAGUUAGGACUACAGAGAUUUGGUUUUGCCAUGUUGGCCAGCCUGGUCUCCAAUUCCUGACCUCAGGCGAUUCACCUGCCUUGGCCUCCCAAGUGCUAGGAUUACAGAGCAAAGGAAGAAUGGUGUACCAGAAUCAUCAAAUUAAGAAAGACAGUAGAUGAGCUUUUCCGCAAAAAAAAUUGGAUCUUUGAAGAUCUUUUUUAAGACCAAAACUCUGAAGCACGUUCAAAUGAUUUGUAUUUAGAAGGACUACCGGAAAACAUUUCUUUCAGAAGUCCCUUGUGAUAUGGAAUUCCGAGGCUGGAAAACAUCAGAAAUGAACCUAUUAAUUCUACACGUGAAGAUUUACAACUUGAUAAACCAGCUUCAGGAGGAUAUUGAAAAACAAAGUUUAAUCUUUGAAGAUCUUUGAGGAUGGUUUUUAAGACCAAAAAUUUGAAGGACAUGCGAAUGAUGUGUGUGUGGAAGAACUACUGGAAGACAUUCCUUUCAGAAGUCCCUCAUGAUAGGGAAUCCCAAGGCUGGAAAACAUCAUUCAAGUGGGCAAUCAAAUUACAUUUGUUAUUAAAAGCCACCCUGAGUGAAUCCCAGCACUGCCCUACAUAAAAUAUAUCCUUAAUGGUAUUUCCUAUUCGAUGUCUGACUCCCCCUCCUCCUUCACUAAAAGAUGGGACCAUCUAGUUGCAGGAAAACAAACAAGCCCAGGACUCCCACUGAUUGUACAUUAUGGUUGCCUGAUCUGCUGAGACCUGUGUUUGCUCUCCCUGCAGAUGGGUGGAAGCACCUAAGCUGAAGAGUCCCUUGAGAACAAGUACUAUCCUGUGGUUUCAUAACCUUUCUUCCAUUUGUGGUUCUUGCUGAGUUAAAUUUAAAGUGCAUCUUAUCAAGAUGGAUAAACCCAAGUUUUCCAGAGCAGGAAUAUAGAAAAUGGAUGGACAUAUAAGUCCCACUCACCCAUAGCCAAGGCAUGGAGACCUGAACACACCUGGGCCCUGGACAUCACCUUUCAUUCUGGAUCUACCAUGAAAGACAUCAGAGUUCAGGAGGAGACUGGGCAUCAUGUUAUUCAGUAGAGAUGGGGAUUCACCACGUUGACCAGGAUGGUCUCGAUCUCCUGACCUCGUGAUCCAACUGCCUCAAGUCAAGCUCUUCAGGCCCACCUUGAGCCUUCCGAUGACCUGGACAGGCCCAGCUCUUUCCUCCCAGUGGCCUCUGCAGGCCUAGCUUUUGCCUCACAGUGUCUCCAGGCCCAGAACUUCCUGAAGUGGGCCUUUCCAUGUCCAGCUCUUCCUCCCAGUUGCAUCUCCAGGACCAACUCCUGCCUGACCCCCUUCUUUGGAUCAGCUCCUACACAGCUCUUGGUGGCCUUUGUAGGCCAAAAACGUUCUCAACUCAAGUUCCCCAGCAGAAACUUCUGAGGAACAAUGGCUUAAACAGGCAUAGCUACUGGAUGACAAUAGACUCUCCAGGACCAACUCUUACCUCAUGAAGGUUUCCCUGGCAAAGCUCUUGCCGGCCUCCCAGCAGCCUUGAGAGGCCCAGCUGCUGCCUGACACUGACUUCAUUAGGCCAAGCUCCUACCCACUAGGUGGCCUCUCCAGGCUCAAAACUUCCUCAUGUGGGCCCCUUCUGGGCCAGCUCCUGCCUCCCAAUGGCCCCCUUGGACCCUGUCGGCCUCUCCAGGAGACCCAGCCUCUGAUCACUCCUGGUGGCAUCCUCAGGCUUGGCUCCUACUCCUGGCCAUGUCUACAGGCCCAUGUCCUACCUCCCAACAACCUCUUUUGACUCGGCUCCUGACCAGCUCCCGGUGGCCUGGACAGGCCGAGCUACCACCUGACAAUAUCCUCUCCAGGGCCAGAUCUGGCAUCCCUGCAGCCUCCUUAUGAUGAGCUGCUACCUGCCAACGGCUUCCCCAGGCCAAGAUCCUGACUGCCUUCCUGCCUGCAUCCUGCCUCCACAGGCCCACUACCUCCCUCAAAGUGGCCACUGGGGCCCAGCCCAUGCCUGUGGCAAACCUCUCCGGACCCAGCUCUCACCUCACGCUGGCCUCAGUCUAGGCCCAGGUCCUCCCUCGCAGCAGCCUUCCUCAGCCCAGCUCACCUAUCACCGUCUCUCCUAGGCCAGCUCCUGACUCUUGGCGGCCUGUCCAGGCCCGAAGGUUCCUCUCCAGACCCAGCCUCUCCAGGCCUGGCUCCUGCCUGCGCUAGGCCCCUCUGGGCCCAGCCUCCACCUAACAGUGGACCCUCCAGACCCAGUUUGUGGCCUCAUCGUGGCCUGCGCUCAGCCCAGCUCCUGCCUCUGUGGCAGCCUGUCUCCACAGGCCCAGCUCCUGGCCUCCUGGUGGCCCCCUCGGGCCAAACCGGUGCCCCCAGGCAGCCCUCUGUGCCUAGCGUUGGCCUUCUGGCAUCCUCUCCUUGUCCAGAAUGUCAGCCUCUUUGGUCCCAGCCCCUCCUUCUGGCGGGUUCUUAGGGCCAACCUUUCGUUCUUGCCUCGCAGCAACCUCUGUGGCUCGGUUCCUCCCUAGCUCCUGGAGGCCUUUGUAGGCCCAAAAGCUCAGGCCCUUGACUCAGGCUCUCCAGGACUACCCAGCUCAUGCCUCAUGCUGGCCUCUCCAGGCUCAGGUUCUGCCCACCCAGGGUUCCUAUAGGCCCCAGAUGUCCCAGAGUCGGCUUCUUCAGGCCCGGUUUCGGACUCCUCCUAUUGGCUUCUGCGGGCCCAAACACUGGGUUCUCAAUUCGGCCUCUCCAGGCCCAGCUCCAGUUCUCCUGGUGUCUCCUCCCCAUGGGUGCAAACGUCAUCAUGUGGGUUCUUCUAGGGCCAGCUCAUGCCUCCCAAAGGCCCCCUGGGCUUAGCUCCUGCCUUCCAUCAGCCUCUCCUGAAGGCCCAGCAUCUGCCUCUGUACUGGCGGCCUCUCAAGGCCUGGAUCCUCCUCCUGGCCACACCUACGGGCCCAAGUUUUGCCCCCGGCAGCCUCUUUUUCUUUUUUUUUUAUUCAAGAGAUGGAGUUUUGCUCUUGUUUCCCAGGCGUGGGUACAAUGACGUGAUCUCGGCUCACCUCAACCUCCGCCUUUUGGGUUUAGGCAAUUCUCCUGCCUCAGCCUCCUGAGUAGCUGGAGUUACAGGCACAUGCCACCAUACCCAGCUAAUUUGUUUCUUUUUUUUUUUGAGACAGAGUUUCGCUCCUGUUACCCAGGCUGGAGUAGAAUGGUGCGAUCUUGGCUCACCGCAAACUCUGCCUCCUGGGUUCAGGCAAUUCUACUGCCUCAGUUUCCUGAGUCGCUGGGAUUACAGGCACCUGCCACUGUGCCCAGCUAAUUUUUUUUUUUUUUUUUUUUGAGACGGAGUUUUGCUCUUGUUGCCCAGGCUGGAGUGCAAUGGCGUGAUCUCGGCUCACCGCAACCUCUGCCUCCUGGGUUCAGGCAAUUCUCCUGCCUCAGCCCGCUGAGUAACUGGGAUUACAGGCACACACCACCGUGGCCAACUAAUGGUUUUUUUUCUUUUUGAGACGGAGUUUUGCUCUUGUUCCUUAGGCUGGAGUGCAGUGGCGUGAUCUCGGCUCACUGCCACCUCUCCCUCCUGGGUUCAGGCAAUUCUCCUGCCUCAGCCUGCUGAGUAGCUGGGAUGACAGGCACACACCACCAUGCCAAGCUAAUUUUUUGUAUUUUUAGUAGAGACGGGGUUUCACCAUGUUGACCAGGAUGGUCUCGAUCUCCUGACCUCGUGAUCCACCCGCCUCGGCCUCCCAACGUGUUGGGAUUACAGGCGUGAGCUGCUGUGCCUGGUCCCCAGCAGUGUCUUUUGGCUCGGCUCCUGGCCAGUGCCCGGAGGCCUUUCGUCUGUCAGCCCAAAGCUUCCUCAGUGUCCCUUCUGUUGAGGCCACUGGGAGGCAGAAGGGAUGCCCGGAAGGCCCCACCUGAGGAAGCUUUAGGCCGACAGGUGAAAGGCCUCUGGGAGCUGGCCAGGAGUCAAGCCAAAAGAGGCUGCCAGGGGCAAAACUUGGGCCUGUAGAUGUGGCCAGGAGGGGGUGCCAGGCCUGGUGUCGCUGCCAGUAGGGAGGCAGAGGCUGGGGCUCCUGGAGAGGCUGUGUGAUGGGAAUCAGGACCUGGGUUUCAGGGGCCACUGGGAUGCAGGACCUAGCCCCGGAGGGGACCACGUGAUGAUGUAUUGCACCCACGUUGGGGGGUGCCACCGGGAGGGCAGGAGCUGGACCUGCAGACACGGACUUCAUGACCCAAUGCUUGGGCCUCCUGAGGCCAGCGGGAGGACAAAGCAGGACUGGGCCUCAGGGCUGAGCUCUGGAGUCCCCCCAGCCUCCCCAGCCCCAGCUGCUGCCUGCUGGCUGCUUCCGCAGGCCAAGAUCCUGCCUGCCUGCAUCCUGGCUGCCUCCACAGGCCCAGCGCCUCCCUCACACUGGCCAGUUGAAGCUCAAUUCAUGCCUUUGCAGUACAUCUCUGGAGCCAGCUCUCGCCUGGUGCUGGCCUUGAGUCUGGACCCAGGCCCUCCCUCGCACCAGCCUUUCUUGGCCCAGCUCGCCUCUCAUAAACGCUCUGGCCAGCUCCUGCCUCCCAGCGGCCUGUCCAGGCCCGAAGCUUCCUCUUUGGGCCCCGCCUCUCUGGGCCCAGCCUACGCCUCUCAGUGGACCCUCCAGACCCAGCUUGUGGCCUCAUCAUGGCCUCUGCUCAGCCCAGCUCCUGCCUCUGUCUUCACAGGCCCAGCUUGUAGCCUCCUGGUGGCCCCCUCGGGCCAAACUGGUGCCCCAGGCGGCCCUUCCAUACCCAGCGUUGGCCUUCUGGCAUCCUCUCCUUGUCCAGAGUGUCUUCAGGUCAGCCUCUUGGGGCCCAGGCCCUCCUUCCGGCGGCUUCUAAGGGCCAAUCUUCCAUUCUCGCCUCGCAGCAACCUCUGUGGACUCGGCUCCUCCCCAGCUCCCGGAGGCCUUUGUAGGCCAGAAAGCUCAGGCCCUCAACUCAGGCUCCUCAAGACUACCCAGGUCAUGCCUCACGCUGGCGUCUUCAGGCUCAGCUUCUGCCCAGCCAGGGUUCCUAUAGGCCCCAGAUGUCCCAGAGUCGGCUUCUCCAGGCCCGGGUCUGGACUCCUCCUAUUGGCUUCUGCAGGCCCAACCACUGGGUUCUCAAUUCGGCCUCUCCAGGCCCAGCUCCAGUUCUCCUGGCAUCUCCUCCCCAUGGGUGCAAAACGUCGUCACAUGGGCCCUUCUAGGGCCAGCUCAUGCCUCCCAAAGGCCCCCUGGGCUUAGCUCCUGCCUCCCAUCAGCCUCUCCUGGAGCCCCAUUCACUGCCUCCAUACUGGUGGCCUCUGCAAGCCUGGAUCCUCCUCUUGGCCAUGUCUACGGGCCCAAGUUUUGCCCCUGGCAGCCUCUUUUUUUUUUUUUUGGAGAUGGAGUUUUUCUUUUGUUACCCAGGCGCAAGUGCAAUGACCUGAUCUCGGCUCAUCUCAACCUUUGCCUCUUGGGUUCAGGCAGUUCUCCUGUCUCAGCCUCCUGAGCAGCUGGGAUUACAGGCAUGCACCACCAUGCCCAGCUAAUUUUUUGUAUUUUUUUUUUUUUUUUUUUUUGAGAUGGAAUUUUGCUCUUGUUACCCAGGCUGGAGUAGAAUGGUGUGAUCUCGGCUCACCACAACCUCCGCCUUUUGGGUUCAGGCAAUUCUCCUUCCUCAGCCUCCUGAGUAGCUGGGAUUACAGGCACGCCCCACCGUGCCCAGCUAAUUUUUUUAUUUUAUUUUAUUUUUGAGAUGGCGUUUUGCUCUUGUUGCCCAGGCUGGAGUGCAAUGGCACGAUCUCAGUUCACCACAAUGUCCGCCUCCUGGGUUCAGGCAGUUCUGCCUCAGCCUCCUCAGCAGCUGGGAUUACAGGCAUGCACCACCAUGCCCAGCUAAUUUUUUGUAUUUUUUUUUUUUUUUGAGACCUAUUUUCGCUCUUGUUACCCAGGCUGGAGUAGAAUGGCGUGAUCUCCGCUCACCACAACCUCUGCCUUUUGGGUUCAGGCAAUACUCCUUCCUCAGUCUCCUGAGUAGCUGGGAUUACAGGCACACGGCACCAUGCCCAGCUAAUUUUUUUUUUUUUUUUUUGAGAUGGAGUUUCGCUCUUGUUGCCCAGGCUGGAGUUCAAUGGAACGAUCUCGGUUCACCGCAAUGUCCGCCUCCUGGGUUCAGGCAAUUCUCCUGCCUCAGCCUCCUGAGCAGCUGGGAUUACAGGCACACACCACCAUGCCCAGCUAAUUUUUUGUAUUUUUAGUAGAGACAGGGUUUCACCAUGUUCACCAGGAUGGUCUCGAUCUCCUGACCUCGUGAUCCACCCGUCUCGGCCUCCCAAAGUGCUGGAAUUAUAGGCGUGAGCCACUGCGCCUGGUCCCCAGCAGCAUCUUUUGGCUCGGCUCCUGGCCAUCUCCUGGAGGCGUUUCAUCUGUCGGCCCAAAGCUUCCUCAGGUGGCACCUUUCGGGCAUCCCUUCUGCCUCCCAGUGGCCUCAACAGAAGGGACACCUAGAAGGCCCCACCUGAGGAAGCUUUGGGUCAACAGACGAAAGGCCGAGCCAAAAGAGGCUGUCUGGUGCAAAACUUGGGCCGGUUGAUGUGGCCAGGAGAAGGUUCAGGCCUGGUGAGGCUGCCAGUAGGGAGGCACAGGCUGGGCCUCCUGGAGUGACUGCCUGAUGGGAACAGGACCUGGGCCCCAUGGGGCCACUGGGAUGCAGGACCUAGCCCCGGAGGGGACCACGUGCUGAUGUAUUGCACCCACGUUGGGGGGUGCCGCCGGGAGGGCAGGAGCUGGACCUGCAGACACGGACUUCAUGACCCAAUGCUUGGGCCUCCCGAGGCCAGCGGGAGGACAAAGCAGGACUGGGCCUCAGGGCCGAGCUCUGGAGUCCCCGCAGCCUCCCCAGCCCCAGCCGCUGCCUGCUGGCUGCUUCUGCAGGCCAAGAUCUUGCCUACCUGCAUCCUGGCUGCAUCCACAGGCCCAGCGCCUCCCUCACACUGGCCAGUUGAGGCUCAAUUCAUGCCUCUGAAAGACGUCUCUGGAGCCAGCUCUCGCCUGGUGCUGGCCUUGAGUCUGGGCCCAGGUCCUCCUUUGCACAUGCCUUUCUUGGCCCAGCUCACCUGUCACAGACUCUUCUGAGACAGCUCCUGUCUCCCAGCAGCCUGUUAGCCCAAAGUUUUCUCUGUGGGCCCAGCCUCCCCACACUGGGCUCCUGCCUGCACUAGGCCCUUGGGCCCAGCCUCCCCCUUUCAGAGGACCCUUCAGACUCAGCUCCUGCCUUUGUGGCAGCCUGUUUCCACAGGCCCAGUCUUCGGCCUUUCUGUGGCCGCAUGGGGCCAAGCCAGUGCCUGCCAGGGGCCCUGCCAGGCCCAGCAUUGGCUUUCUGACAUCCUUUUAGUGUCCAGAACGUCUUCAGGUCGGCCUCUCGGGGCCCAGCUCCUCCUUUCCUCGUCAUCUACAGGCCCAACAUGUGAAUUUGCCUCAUAGAAACCUCUGUGGACUCGGCUCCUGCCCAGCUCCCGACAGCCUUUGUAGGCCCGAAAGCUCAGAUUAUCUACUCAGACUCUCCAGGCCCACCUGGCUCAUGCCUAAUGACUGGCCCCUCCGGGUCUGGCUCCUGCCCUUUUAAGGGCAUCUCCAGGCCCCAGACAUUCCUGAGUCGGCUUCUCCCCUUUCGGCUCCUGCUGCCUCCUCCUGCUGGCCAUGUGAGGCCCAGUAUUGGGUCCUGAAUUUGGCCUCUCCAGGCCCAGCUCCUGCCCUCCUGGCAUCUCCUUUCCUUGGGUGGAAAACAUUCUCACAUGGGUGCCUCCAGGGCCAGCUGCUGCCUCCCAAUGGCCCCCUGGGGCCCAGCUUCUGCCUCCCCUCAGCCUCUCUGGGAGGUCCAGCCUAUGCCUCCCUUCUGGCGGCCUCCGCAGGCCCGGAUUCUCCACCUGGCCUCAUCUACUGGACCACGUCCUGCCUCCCAGCAGCUGCUUUUUGCUCGGCCCCUGACCAGCUUCCAGCGACCUUUGUAGGCCCGAAGCUUUCUCAAGUUCUGCCUCCCAGUGGCCUUGACAGGCCCUGCUACCACCUGACAUUGGCGUCUCCUGGCCCAGCUCUGGACUCUCUGCAGCCUCCCCAGCACCACCUACUGCCUGCUGAUGGCUUUUCCAGUCCAAGAUCCUGCCUGCCUGCAUUCUGGCUGCGUCCACAGGCCCAGCGCUUCCCUCACAGUGGCUCAUUGGAGCCUAGUGCUUUCCUUACAGUGGCUCAUUGGAGCCCACCGCUCUCCUCACAGUGGCUCAUUGGAGCCCAGCGCUUCCCUCACAGUGGCUCAUUGGAGCCCAGCGCUUCCCUCACAGUGGCUCAUUGGAGCCCAGCGCUUCCCUCACAGUGGCUCAUUGGAGCCCAGUGCUUUCCUUACAGUGGCUCAUUGGAGCCCAGUGCUUUCCUUACAGUGGCUCAUUGGAGCCCAGCGCUUCCCUCACAGUGGCUCAUUGGAGCCCAGUGCUUCCUUCACAGUGGCUCAUUGGGGCCCAGCUCUCGCCUCACUCUUGCCUUGAGUCUAGGCCCAGGCGCUCCCUCACAGGGGUCUUCCUGAGCACAGCUCGCCUAUCGCAGACUCUCCCAGGCCAGCUCCUGCCUCCCGGCGGCCUGUCCAGGCCCAAAGCUUCCUCUUUGUGCCCGGCCUCCCCAGGCCCAGCUUCUCUCUGCGCCAGGCCCAUACUGGGCCCAGCCUCCGCCUUUCAGUGGACCCUCCAGGCCCAGCUUGUGGCAUCACCGUGGCCUCUGCUCAGGCCCAGCUCCUGCCUCUGUGGCAGCCUGUAUCCACAGGCCCCACCCCCAGUCUCUCCGUGGCCCCGUUGGGCCAAGCUGAUGCCUCCCGGUGGCCCUCCUGGGCCCAGCAUUUGCCUGCUGGCAUCCUCUCUGGGCCCAGAACGUCUUCAGCUGCGGCAUGAAGCUGAACUCGGACUACCUGCUGGAGAUGCUUUGGGAGUACUUGGCCCUGACCUGCAUCUACACCAGGAAAAGAGGAUAGAGGCCGGACUUCACAGACGCCAUCAUCCUCCGAAAAGGGGCCUCAGUGGAGCACGUGAUCCAUCCAUCCUCUGUCCACCCUCCCACCUACUAAUCCAUCCUUCUAGGUGAUAAGGAACCGUAUGGACAUCUUGCAGCUCCUGGAGGCAGAUGCUGGAGGGCUGGGCUUGGCCUCUGCCACAAGCAAUGCCCUGAUCCCACAAAGCCCUGGAGGGGCCGUGGACCAGUUUGUAAUACAAGACCCUGGAAAGGA